rnacentral:lncRNA from 1 species
CCCUGUUCCCCCUCCCCUGCCCCCUCAGCCUGCGGGCAGCAGAAGGCGGCGGCCAGCCUCCUCCUGCCCCUCGGCCGGACGAACCGCGGCUGCCGCGCCUGUCACCUCUGCACCUGCCCGGCUGAGUAGAAAAAUCUGAAAUUUGAAACAGAAAUGGCCACAUAAGGACAACUCAGAUGAAGUGCAGGCGGGCUGACAUCGCGCACUUGGGUCUUUCCGGGAAAGACAGCCGCGCUCUGGGAGAAGCCUAGUCCUCCGGCUUGUCCCCGGACCCGCCCCAAAGGCCGCUGGGAGCUCGGUGAGGACGUGGCGGUCCCCUUGCUCAUCUGACUCCGGAGGCAGGUUCCGCAGAAAGAGCUCUCAAUCUCGGCCGCUGGGCUCCAAGAUAAUCUCCUGGCGAAAGCUAAGAGGCGGCCAUCCCUUCCCGGGGACUCAGCCCCUAGAUUCAGCUUCUUCCGCCGCAAAAAACUCCCAAGCCCUGCGAACUCGCAACUUGCCUCUCCAGGCUUCCGGCGUGGGCGUCCCAGCUACACUUUCGAGCACUUUGCUUGGCCGGCAUCUACCCGCUCUUCGAUUAAGGAAAGCGCAGUGGGGACAGAGGCAACUCCUGCCUCCUGUACCAGGCCUACGUAGUCGCCCAGGUGGCCGGGUCACAAAUAAACAAUUCCACCAUCAAGAAACCCGCUAACCUCUGUACCCCGCUAACCUCUGAAAACCUAAUACUGAUCCAGGUCUCCCAAAUAAUCUGAAUCUCCCCCAGUCCUUCCGGUGGAACAGCUAGCCUGAGCGCAGGGAAAAUUGACAAGGAGCCUUCAGCUAGCCUUCUAGCUUUGAGCUUGAGUAGGGGCAUGGCUACUUGGUGGCUUCUUUGC